CAGUCGCCGCGGUAAAACGUAGGUGGCAAGCGUUGUCCGGAAUUAUUGGGCGUAAAGGGCUCGCAGGCGGUUUCUUAAGUCUGAUGUGAAAGCCCCUGGCUCAACCGGGGAGGGUCAUUGGAAACUGGGAAACUUGAGUGCAGAAGAGGAGAGUGGAAUUCCACGUGUAGCGGUGAAAUGCGUAGAGAUGUGGAGGAACACCAGUGGCGAAGGCGACUCUCUGGUCUGUAACUGACGCUGAGGAGCGAAAGCGUGGGGAGCGAACAGGAUUAGAUACCCGCGUAGUCCCUGUCUCUUAUAC
rnacentral:rRNA from 1 species